GCAAAGGAACGGAAGUGUUCAUACAGACACACGCUUGCAUACGCGCAGAUCGACACCGACGCGCUCUUCCAUUAGUGUUUGUCUGCUCUAGGCAGCUGCGGCGAUCUGCUGUUCAGCCUCUUGCCUCGUUGUUGUUUCUCGAGGCUCUGCGGACGGCCCCUUGCCUCUCUCUCUCGCCCUUUUCUUUCUGCUUUUCUUCUUGCUCUUGGACGCGUGCAUGCCACGACUUGGCUCCCCGCUCGAGUGGCCCUCCUACCAUUUUUUGUCCACAAGAAAAGGCUGAGAUAAAGAGAGCAGGGGGGAGGGUGGGUCCGAGUCACGUUGUGGCGCACGGUUUCGCAUCUCUUUAGAGAAGAACCAAGCGAGAGUGGUGCCUCUCUCUCUCUGAGUAUCGUUCGAAACGCGGCUGCGUGAGAAAAAGAGUGCAGGAGGCACACGCUUUUUACUCUGAGCACAUGCAAGCUGCACGUGCCGCACCGUACCAACUUUCUCACACACACCACACACGAAUCUCGCGUGCACACAUUAAGUGUCAGUCUGUGUGGGUGGGCGGGUGGGGUGUCAUUGCCGCUGCAGUUUUGUUUUGUGGGCUGCCCCUCUACUGACCCUGCCGGUCUCUGCGCGUCGCCCUCUCACCCCGUCUGUCUUAUCUGCUGGUGCGUGCCUCUUUCCCAUUCUUCUCUCCUUUCAGAAAACGAAGGGAUGCUGAUAGGUGCUGCACACGGAGAUGAAGUAUGGUCAGAGUAGGGCAUCUGGCAGCGCGCCCCCCUCGUCGAAUGCGGCAAAUUCAUCAGACAGGACAAAAUUAAUGCAGGUACUGCGAGUGGUGGCGCAGCAUAGUCGCGUGUUCGCCACAGCUCAGUGCGUGUAUGUGCGCCGUCGUGUGACGGCCAUCGGCAAAUUAAUCCACAUUACCGUGCGAUCACUGUACUUUCCUGACGAGUUCUCCUUCUAUCUUGACACCGUCGUGCGGUUCCUGUUCAGCGUGUAUUACAUACCUUUCCUGGCAAUGGUCGUCGCGCUGACGCAUGCGGCAAUCGAGCGGAUCGUCUGGGUGCUCGUGAUCCCGGUGACGCAGGAGAUGGAGCGGCGCCCGUUUAGCACCUCGCGCGUGUCGACACUCGUGUACGGACUCGGCUCUAUCGCAUCCCGCAUGACGCCGUUUGCCACGCUGGCGGUCGCCGUCGCCACUGUGGGGCACAAGGUCAUGAAUUGUGUGGCGGAGGCUAUGGUAGACGCCUACACGACGCAGCGCGACAUGGACUAUCCUCUCCUCCGUGCUCGUCUACGUUUCACCGUGAAGAAAAAGUCGCGCUUGGUCAUCUGUGGAGUUGUCUCUGCAAAUCUGGCCGUCGUGCUGGUGCUUCUGUGCCACACAAACGCCUUUGUGGAGUGGUCUGGCCGAGAGCCCUGGGUCACUGCGGCGGUGUGGACAGUACUUGUGAUACAAAUCUGCUUUGUGCUGACGACGGUGCUGCGGGAGGCGCCGCUGGAGAAUACGACGCUUAACUGCAGUGGCGUCUUUCGACUCAUUGACCGGCGACGGUGCCAGGUGCAGACGCAGCUCCGCAACAACGUCGAGGUGCGGCCAGGGGCGUGCCCACCACCGUUUCCGCAGCCGGUAGAGAACACUUUUUCGUCCUCAAGCAGCAGCAUUUCUGUGGCGUCCCCACGGCUGGCGCGCUGUGGCGGUGGCGGUGAGGCGACCGCGGUUGGAGGAAGUGGUGACGUGUCGCUGCUCCACUCUCUCUCUGACGCUAAACCCCUCGCCGCAACGCAGGCGUCGGUGUCCGCCACGGCGGAGAACGUGUGCAACCUCAUUGAUUCCUCAGCCUCGCAGGCAUUCGUCACGUACGUCGAGGACGACUGGUGGCGUCAUCACAUUCACACCAUGCGCUACAUCGGCUUCUUUAUGGUUAUUUUCUUCACCAUCGGCUUUGCUGUGGUGUGUGGCCCAGUGUUUGGACUCACAUCGGGCGUGAUGAUCUUGACCUGCCUCAACGCGCCGCACCUGUUCGGAUGUAUGGCCCUGUCUAUCUCGGCCGCCGUGACGUGCAUUCUGCGCUCCUACGCGUGGCUGCUGCGGCAUCCUGAUGCGCUGCUGCCCAUUCUCAUGAUAGCGACUCCUUACCAGCUGCUGCUGAUCAGUGCGUUUCUCUAUUUCCGCCAACACCCCCUGCUCUGCUUGAUGUUGGUGUGGGUGAACAUGCUGCUGGCUGCGCGCGCCAUCGACCUGGCGCGGGAGUUCGACGUGACAGUGAAUGGGUCGGUGCUGUGGAAGUAUGCCGACUCUGGCGUGCCGCUCCCGCCGGCGCUAGCGAGCGUUCUCGAGGACGUACACGAAAAGCAGUACUACUACCCCGACGUGAUGAGUCUCGACAUGCUGAUUGACAUUCGCCGCAUGAAGAUUUUGUACGCUGGCGGGGCCGAGGUGCGCCUCAAGCGGCAGGUCGUGAUUCCGCCGGGGGCACUGCGGCGCUACCUGUUUGAGUACCACUUCUAUGCGUACACCCUGCCGCGUCUUCUGUCGCUGCAGAGCCCAGGGUACUUUAGCGGCUCGAAGUUCCGCACAAUGCGGGUGGUGCUGCGCUUCAUCUCGGUGACGCUGCUGCUGCUCUACGCGCUGCUCAUGUCGGGGCUCCUUGUGCAGGCGGCGUUCCCGCAGCUGCGUCCGCUCCCGGUGCGGGUGGCAGCGGCAGCAGACAACAGCUACCUCACCUUUGAUCACAUUGUGGUGCGCCUGCACCUGCUCUCGCAAAACGCGUCGCGACGGGCGGCGGAAGUGAACACGUCUAACGUGGCGCUGGAGGGGUAUCUCUCCGGCGUGCCGGUGGCGGCGUCGAGCGCGUUCAUGUGGCACAACAUCACAUCGGCCGAGAACGAGGACUUCUACCCGCAGCUGUGUACGCGGCAGUACGGUGAGACGUCUGUGUGGGAGCUCGCCCUCCUCGCUUUGGCACCGUACCUCUUCAACGUGGAGGAGUUCAACACAAUGCUGCGCUUCCUGAACGUGCACAUGGGCUCCGACUGGGUCAUUCAGCCGCGUCACGGCGCGUCGUGCGUGCCUGGCGACUCAAAUCACCAGCCGACAGGGUGGAGCGACUUUUACGAGGUGUACAGCGAAAAGCGCGACACCUCCGUCAUCGCGGUGCGCGGCACCGACAUGUUCUCCUUCACCGACUUUCUCUUCAACACGAACGUCUUCUUCGAGGUGGUGCUGUACCAGCUCAUGACAACCAUGAUUCCAGGAACGGUGGUGGUUCCGAAGGACCUCAUUGUCGACCUGCUGCGCACCGCCUCGCUGCCGGCGGACUCGUACGGCGAUGUGUACGAGACAUGGGCGGAGCUGACAAGGAGCGGGAACCACAGUCUGCGGAGGUGUCAGCAAAAUAACUUCCGGAGAGACUUCUUCGCCGACCUGUAUAACCACAUUGCCUACGUGGGCUCGCGGCCUACGCACCCGCGGCACCUCUUGCUCACCGGGCACUCCCUCGGCGGGGCGGUGGCGGCUAUUGUGGCGGCGCAGAUGCGGGUGAAGGCGGUGGCGUUCAGCGCUCCCGGCAUCGCUCUGGCGCGCAAAAAGUUUAACCUACCGCUGCGGUCGAUCAACGAGAACAUUAUGACUGUCGUGUCGUCGAACGACAUUGUGCCAGCGGUGGGGGAGCACGGCGGGGAGCUGCACCACGUAGAGUGCCUGGCCGCCACACGCGAGCUGUGCCAUGCAAUGGAGUUCAUGAUCGGAUCCCUCUGGCGCUCCUGCAGCUCUGUACGCUCUCGCUUCCCCUCCAUAAAAGAUGUGGUAUAGCCCCUGAGUUUUGUAUUAGUAUUAACCUCCUCCUGAGAGUGCGUCUUCGUGUGAACGAGCGUCACGCGCUCCGACCAUCAUUUUCUUUCGAGUUGCGCGCGAGCUUCAGAAUCCUGGCGACCGGGGGAGGGGGAGGCACACCUCUCAGUGUGUGGUGGUGUCACAAGACUCAGCACCCCUCCCCCACUCUCUGUGUGCUUAGGGAAGCCAAGCAGCCCCUCACCCCCCCCUGCGCCUGCUAAUGCGGGGCCACCUCUGGUGGUGGCAGGGUCCAGAACCCACGACGUGGGGAGGUCAGAGCUAUUUGCCGCCACUGAUGUCGGCGGUCGGGGCAUGGCAGUACAUAAUUUAUCUUUCUUCGUUCCACGUCUCCGUUCCACCACGAACAAGUCGACAGAUAUGUACACAGACACCACCACAGCUCACCCACUUCUGUUACACUGCAGCUACAUCCGGGUCGUCUAGGACGAACCGUCCGGCCGCUGAAUCGGGGACAUGUGUCUUGCGUGCUCGUCCCCCCCUGCUCGUCCCCCCCUGCUCGUCCCUUUUGUCCACGGGUGCUGCGCGAUCGGCGCUAGACGGACUCGGAUGAGCACACCUUGAUCCAAGCGGUAGGCGUCUGCCGUGCGAGUAACAGGGGGAUGUCGGCCCGCCGCCUGAGAGCAAUGUGACCAAAUCCGUCAUUCAUGCAAUCGGUUUCAGCGCUUCUGGCGCUGCACAUUCGGCAAGCUUGUCAGCUUCGUUCUUGUGCUCCCAUCCGGAAUGGCCACAGGCAAACUAAAAUGAGAGGCGCGCGUGACCAGCCAGAAGCACUAGCAUUUGUCCUCAAAGACGUCGCAGCAUGUCAUUCCCCACCGCCGUAGGGCCCGCAGCUUGCCCUCCUUGCGCGUGGGAGACGGGUAGCGGCAAGUUGAUUUUCUACCUUUCUCUGCUGAGGGUGGGGCGAAAAACACGUCAACAGCAGGGUUCGAACCUGCGCGCGAGAUCGCAUUUGAUUUCAAGUCAAACCCCGUAACCACUUGGGUAUGUUGACUACACGUGCUUAGGUCCAAUGCAUUAUAGUGAAUAGCUUUCACUGGUGCUACGAGGUGCGCUCUUUUGGACGAAGGCGGAGUGGCCGAGUGGUCUAAGGCGCCAGAUUUAGGCUCUGGUCUUUCGAGGCGUGGGUUCGAACCCCACCUCCGUCACCCCUUUUUCGGGGGUGGGGCGGGGAAAAAGGUUGCGACCGGUGAGGAUCGAACUCACGACCUUGGGAUUAUGAGACCCACGCGCUGCCGACUGCGCUACGCUCGCCCACCAGCGUUGGGCUCGACAGCUCUGUGUCAGAGACAGAGUUGUGUGCGUAAAAGUGCUCCCAACAGGGGUCGAACCUGUGACCUUGGGCUUAUUAGACCCACGCUCUAACCGACUGAGCUAUGAGAGCUGCAACAUGCAUCCGGAUGUACGGGUGGUCUGAGGAGAGAGAGAUCUGGGUUCCAUAGCUGUACGGAAAAUGUUUCCGCCCGGAGGCGGUGGGCGGAUACUGCGGAUUCGGGCGCUCGGCCGUGAGACGCUCAGCCCUACUUUGGC
rnacentral:tRNA from 1 species